GACGCGGUGACCUAAUGGUUAGCUCGUUGGACUCCGGAUCGAGCGGCCUGGGUUCAAGCCCUGUCUGGGUCA
rnacentral:tRNA from 1 species